GUCAACCUACCUCUGUGUGGGGGAUAACUAGCCGAAAGGUUAGCUAAUACCGCAUACGAUCGUUUUGGGGCAUCUCGAGACGAUGAAAGGAGCAAUCCGCACGGAGAGGGGACUGCGUCCCAUUACUUAGUUGGUGGGGUAACGGCCUACCAAGACUCCGAUGGGUAGCUGGCUUGAGAGAGCGACCAGCCACACUGGAACUGA
rnacentral:rRNA from 1 species